rnacentral:miRNA from 1 species
AUCGUCCUGGUUGGCCUGGGACUGAGCCGUUUCCUGGGACACAGGACUUUCACGACUAAAACUGGUUCAG